rnacentral:rRNA from 1 species
GGGAUUGCCUUAGUAACUGCGAGUGAAGCGGCAAAAGCUCAGAUUUGAAACCUGCUGCCUUUGGUAGCCGGAUUGUAAUCUGGAGAGACAUCUUCUGGUGGACAGCCGGUCUAAGUUCCUUGGAACAGGACGUCAGAGAGGGUGAGAAUCCCGUAUUCUGGUCGGCCCGUGCACCUUGUGAAGUGUCUUCGACGAGUCGAGUUGUUUGGGAAUGCAGCUCAAAAUGGGUGGUAAAUUUCAUCUAAAGCUAAAUAUUGGCGAGAGACCGAUAGCGCACAAGUAGAGUGAUCGAAAGAUGAAAAGCACUUUGAAAAGAGAGUCAAAAAGUACGUGAAAUUGUUGAAAGGGAAGCGCUUGAGACCAGACUCGGGCGUAGGUGAUCAGCGUUGCUUCUGCUUCGUGCACUUGCCUACACUCGGGCCAGCAUCGGUUGCGGCGGCGGGAUAAAGGUUCGAGGAAUGUGGCUCCCUCCGGGGAGUGUUAUAGCCUUGAGCGUAAUGCCGCCUGCUGCGACCGAGGACCGCGCUUCGGCUAGGAUGCUGGCGUAAUGGUCUUCAGCGACCCGUCUUGAAACACGGACCAAGGAGUCUAACAUCUAUGCGAGUGUUCGGGUGUAAAACCCCUGCGCGUAAUGAAAGUGAACGGAGGUGGGAACCCCUCACGGGGCGCACCAUCGACCGAUCCUGAUGUCUUCGGAUGGAUUUGAGUAAGAGCAUAGCUGUUGGGACCCGAAAGAUGGUGAACUAUGCCUGAAUAGGGUGAAGCCAGAGGAAACUCUGGUGGAGGCUCGC